CGCUAAUACCGCAUACGUCCUACGGGAGAAAGCAGGGGACCUUCGGGCCUUGCGCUAUCAGAUGAGCCUAGAUCGGAUUAGCUAGUUGGUGAGGUAAUGGCUCACCAAGGCUACGAUCCGUAACUGGUCUGAGAGGAUGAUCAGUCACACUGGAACUGAGACACGGUCCAGACUCCUACGGGAGGCAGCAGUGGGGAAUAUUGGACAAUGGGCGAAAGCCUGAUCCAGCCAAGGGGCGUGUGUGAAGAAGGUCUUCGGA
rnacentral:rRNA from 1 species